GGGGAGAAUGCGGGGAGACCGCGUUUAGAGGAUCAGUGGCGGCGGGCCCGCGCGGUGCCGGCGACUAGCAGCGAGAUGUCCUGGCCCCUUCCAGGGAGAAUGGAGAGAGCAAGGUGUAGCUGAUUAGCAAGUUAAUUAUUUCAGUACCCCAAGGGUUCAUGCGUGGUGGAGAUGGCCUUGGGAGAGCAACCUCCGGACCUCAGCAGUGUGAGGAUGACAACAGUACCCUGUGGUGCUGUCCCCACUCAGGGUUUCUCUCUGUAGCCCCGACUGUCCUGGAACUCACUCUGCAGACCAGGCUGUCCUCAAGCUCAGAGAUCUACCUGCCUCUGCCUCUGAAGUACUGGGAUUAAAGAUGCAGAGGCCUCCCAGAGAAGUGUGAAGGAAUGGGCCUUAACCAGGGUUGAAGAAAGAAAGUGAAGAAGGGGAGAGCCCAAGGAAAGGUGGGGACAGUUGGAACUUUUGUUUACACUGGUCUACUACUCAUGUAUCGUAUGCUAUAAUCUCCAAAUUCCACAUUUAUUGUAGCUGUCUGCAGUGUGUAUGCCCCGGCCGCAUGCUGCUUGGCUAAAAAAGUGUUAAAUAAAACUGUAAGAAACGCUACCAGG
rnacentral:lncRNA from 1 species